UAUUUGCAGGAGCUACUGAAAACUCCCCCAAAUAAAUCUGUCAAAAUCGCCUCAUUUUCUUUAUAAAAAAUAAUAAAAAUUUAUUAUUUAUGUUUUAUUUGGUCUCCCUCUUAAAAAAGCUGGCACGCACAUAUCUCUCCUUUUUUUUUUCUAGUUUCUCUCUCUCAGUCUCUCUCCCUCUCUCGAUCCACCCUCAAAUCCGAUGCCACCGUUGCGUGUCGGUUCUCCUUCUUUGCAACUCGGUGCGCCACCGGUGUGUAUUGUUGCUCGACUGUUGUAGCUCGUUAGGAUUCUUCUUAUAGCAACACAGAUCUAUGAUAUGUUUGUUCCUUCAAGCCAUGCCAAUCGGGAUUUUCUUUGUCCCACGAUUUAGGUUAGAUUUGAAUUCCAUUCUUACUCAUAUAUCUUUUCUUUGAAAUUCUUUUAUUUGAAUUCGGUUUGGUGUUUAACAAUGCCAAAACCCUAGGUUUCUUAAUUUCCCUCAUGAAGAUGGCGGUUCCUCCGUCUCUUUAUCUUCCUUUUUCUCAAAGUUGCAGAAACCUUAGGAUGAACAACUUCCUUUGCAGAUCUGAAACAAACAUGUAAGAGGUUUCUCGGGUUAUUAUGGAGUGUUUCUUGAAGCUUUAUUAUCAAUCUGAGAGUCCUUAUACUUGAGAUUCUGCUUUGACUCGGUUACUAUGAAGAGGGGUAGUUAUACGAAUUAUUUCUAGCUAUUCAUAAAUUAAGUUUUCAUGUUUACAUCUAUAAUAUUUUGCUGGCUGUUUUGAUUUUUAGGAUGAAUAACAAAACCUAUUGGAUGCUUGAGGGAAGAGUGUUAGUCCAGAAAUUCACUGACACUUGUUCACAACAGGUGCUAGUAAGUCGAAUCAUAUUUGUGUGAAGGAGUGAUUUUGAGUUGACCGUUGGAAUUCUUCUAUAUUUUUUUACAGUUGGAUAGUGUUGAAACUUGGAUGCACGAAUCAUCCUAUUUGUAUUAAAGGGUUUAUAUUGGUCAAGCAAUGCAGUCAUCAAAAUACAACAAGAUAUUCAAUGAACGAGGAGAUUCAAAGCCAUAAGUUAUUCCAAUUUACAAGAAUUUGUGGAGCUUCCUAAACCUGAUAAGUCAUUUGAGUAUUUACAAAUUGAAGGAAGGAGAGCAUCAUUCACUAUUCUCCUCACAAGUCACAACAUGCUCUUUAUGUAUUUGGCAUUGUCAACAUGAAUCUGUCCUUUCCAAUGAUAGAAAUCUACACAAGAGCAAGGUUCUACAAAUGCACACUGAGGUUCAGAGAAGACUCAAAUGAGCAAACUUGAGGUAACUUAAUUUUAUUGCAUGUUCAUAUAUUUUCUAUGCUCUUACUUGAGGUAACUUAAUUAUAUUUUCUAUGUUCGGAGAAGACUCAAAAGGUUCAAUUAUAUUUUCAGGCCCUGUGUUAUAUAUAUUUUCUACUUGAUUGGUAUGGCUUUGUAUGCCCUUUGCAAAUCAUUACUCUUGAUUUGUUGGUGAUUUUUGAUGCAGCAACAUCUGAUAAAUUGGAGUAUGUUCUUAGAGAAAAUAGGGAGGCUUCCAUGCUAUACUAGGUCUCUUCAAUAGUUGAUUAGUUAAUUAGAUGUUGAAUUAGAAGUUGGACUGUUUUUAUCUUUUAUUUUAUUUUAGUGUAUUUGGCUAGUUUUGUCAAAGGUGUGAAAUAUCUGUGUAAGAAAAUUUAGUAUUUUAUAUUUUUUACCAAUUUUAUAAUUAAUAUAAAUAUCCUGUCUAUUUAUAAAUUAAUAAAUUUAAAACUUGAAUGC